GCUGGCGGCAUGCCUUACACAUGCAAGUCGAACGGCAGCACGGACUUCGGUCUGGUGGCGAGUGGCGAACGGGUGAGUAAUGCAUCGGAACGUGCCAUUGAGUGGGGGAUAACGUAGCGAAAGUUGCGCUAAUACCGCAUAUUCUGUGAGCAGGAAAGCAGGGGACCGCAAGGCCUUGCGCUCUUUGAGCGGCCGAUGUCAGAUUAGCUAGUUGGUGAGGUAAAGGCUUACCAAGGCGACGAUCUGUAGCGGGUCUGAGAGGAUGAUCCGCCACACUGGAACUGAGACACGGUCCAGACUCCUACGGGAGGCAGCAGUGGGGAAUUUUGGACAAUGGGGGCAACCCUGAUCCAGCCAUGCCGCGUGAGUGAAGAAGGCCUUCGGGUUGUAAAGCUCUUUCGGCCGGGAAGAAAUCGCAUGGGCCAAUACCCUGUGUGGAUGACGGUACCGGAAUAAGAAGCACCGGCUAACUACGUGCCAGCAGCCGCGGUAAUACGUAGGGUGCGAGCGUUAAUCGGAAUUACUGGGCGUAAAGCGUGCGCAGGCGGUUUUGUAAGACAGGCGUGAAAUCCCCGGGCUUAACCUGGGAACUGCGUUUGUGACUGCAAGGCUAGAGUACGGCAGAGGGGGGUGGAAUUCCACGUGUAGCAGUGAAAUGCGUAGAGAUGUGGAGGAACACCAAUGGCGAAGGCAGCCCCCUGGGUCGAUACUGACGCUCAUGCACGAAAGCGUGGGUAGCAAACAGGAUUAGAUACCCUGGUAGUCCACGCCCUAAACUAUGUCAACUAGGUGUUGGGUGGGUAAAACCAUUUAGUACCGUAGCUAACGCGUGAAGUUGACCGCCUGGGGAGUACGGCCGCAAGGUUAAAACUCAAAGGAAUUGACGGGGACCCGCACAAGCGGUGGAUGAUGUGGAUUAAUUCGAUGCAACGCGAAAAACCUUACCUACCCUUGACAUGCCAGGAACUUGCCAGAGAUGGCUUGGUGCCCGAAAGGGAGCCUGGACACAGGUGCUGCAUGGCUGUCGUCAGCUCGUGUCGUGAGAUGUUGGGUUAAGUCCCGCAACGAGCGCAACCCUUGUCGUUAAUUGCCAUCAUUUAGUUGGGCACUUUAACGAGACUGCCGGUGACAAACCGGAGGAAGGUGGGGAUGUCGUCAAGUCCUCAUGGCCCUUAUGGGUAGGGCUUCACACGUCAUACAAUGGUCGGUACAAAGGGUUGCCAAGCCGCGAGGCGGAGCCAAUCCCAGAAAGCCGAUCGUAGUCCGGAUUGCAGGCUGCAACUCGCCUGCAUGAAGUCGGAAUCGCUAGUAAUCGUGGAUCAGCA
rnacentral:rRNA from 1 species